CCUACGGGUGGCAGCAGUGAGGAAUAUUGGUCAAUGGACGAGAGUCUGAACCAGCCAAGUCGCGUGAAGGAUGACUGCCCUAUGGGUUGUAAACUUCUUUUAUAUGGGAAUAAAAUGUUCCACGUGUGGGAUUUUGUAUGUACCAUAUGAAUAAGGAUCGGCUAACUAUGUGCCAGCAGCCGCGGUAAUACGGAGGAUCCGAGCGUUAUCCGGAUUUAUUGGGUUUAAAGGGAGCGUAGGUGGAUUGUUAAGUUAGUUGUGAAAGUUUGCGGCUCAACCGUAACAGUGCAGUUGAAACUGGCAGUCUUGAGUACAGUAGAGGUGGGCGGAAUUCGUGGUGUAGCGGUGAAAUGCUUAGAUAUCUGGAAGAACUCCGAUGGCGAAGGCAGUUCACUGGACUGCAACUGACGCUGAGGCUCGAAAGCGUGGGUAUCAAACAGGAUUAGAUACCCGAGUAGUC
rnacentral:rRNA from 1 species